GACGAACGCUGGCGGCGUGCUUAACACAUGCAAGUCGAACGGAAAGGCCCUGCUUUUGUGGGGUGCUCGAGUGGCGAACGGGUGAGUAACACGUGAGUAACCUGCCCUUGACUUUGGGAUAACUUCAGGAAACUGGGGCUAAUACCGGAUAGGAGCUCCUGCUGCAUGGUGGGGUUUGGAAAGUUUCGGCGGUUGGGGAUGGACUCGCGGCUUAUCAGCUUGUUGGUGGGGUAGUGGCUUACCAAGGCUUUGAUGGGUAGCCGGCCUGAGAGGGUGACCGGCCACAUUGGGACUGAGAUACGGCCCAGACUCCUACGGGAGGCAGCAGUGGGGAAUAUUGCACAAUGGGCGGAAGCCUGAUGCAGCAACGCCGCGUGCGGGAUGACGGCCUUCGGGUUGUAAACCGCUUUCGCCUGUGACGAAGCGUGAGUGACGGUAAUGGGUAAAGAAGCACCGGCUAACCACGUG
rnacentral:rRNA from 1 species